UGAGAAUUGGGGGUGGGUAAAGGAACCGUGGGCGGGAGGGUGGCUAGGCGAUGGCGACCAGUAUGCAUCCAGGGAUGAGGCGACCUCCGCGCCCCCUCCAGUCCUGCCCGACCCUCUCCAAGAGUCCACAGCUCCCCGGCUGGGUCCGGGCCCCGAGGCGGCUACGAGGUCCUCAACCUCGUGCUGCUGAUGGGGGUGAGGGACACGCCUAAAAACUGCUGCAGCGCGAGGAACAGGCCACCGGAGACCCAGACACACACACA